UACGGAGGAUCCAAGCGUUAUCCGGAUUUAUUGGGUUUAAAGGGUGUGUAGGCGGGUAGUUAAGUCAGUGGUGAAAUCUCCAGGCUCAACCUGGAAACUGCCAUUGAUACUAUCUAUCUUGAAUACUGUUGAGGUAGGCGGAAUAAGUCAUGUAGCGGUGAAAUGCAUAGAUAUGACUUAGAACACCAAUUGCGAAGGCAGCUUACUAAACAGUUAUUGACGCUGAGGCACGAAAGCGUGGGGAUCAAACAGG
rnacentral:rRNA from 1 species